rnacentral:rRNA from 1 species
AUUGAACGCUGGCGGCAGGCCUAACACAUGCAAGUCGAACGGUAACAGGAAGAAGCUUGCUUCUUUGCUGACGAGUGGCGGACGGGUGAGUAAUGUCUGGGAAACUGCCUGAUGGAGGGGGAUAACUACUGGAAACGGUAGCUAAUACCGCAUAACGUCGCAAGACCAAAGAGGGGGACCUUCGGGCCUCUUGCCAUCGGAUGUGCCCAGAUGGGAUUAGCUAGUAGGUGGGGUAACGGCUCACCUGGGCGACGAUCCCUAGCUGGUCUGAGAGGAUGACCAGCCACACUGGAACUGAGACACGGUCAAGACUCCUACGGGAGGCAGCAGUGGGGAAUAUUGCACAAUGGGCGCAAGCCUGAUGCAGCCAUGCCGCGUGUAUGAAGAAGGCCUUCGGGUUGUAAAGUACUUUCAGCGGGGAGGAAGGGAGUAAAGUUAAUACCUUUACUCAUUGACGUUACCCGCAGAAGAAGCACCGGCUAACUCCGUG